rnacentral:rRNA from 1 species
UACGUAGGUGGCAAGCGUUAUCCGGAAUUACUGGGCGUAAAGAGUCGCGUAGGUGGAAAGCCGCGUCGGUUUUGAAAGAGUGGGGCUCAACUCCAUUUUUGGAACUGAUACGGGUUUUCUAGAGGAAAACAGGGGCAAGCGGAACUUUCAGUGGAGCAGUGAAAUGCGUUGAUAUUGAAAGGAACACCAAAGGCGAAGGCAGCUUGCUGGGUUUUAUCUGACACUUAGGCACGAAAGCGUAGGGAGCGAACCGG